rnacentral:lncRNA from 1 species
GAUACUAGGGAUACAACAGCAAACAAGAUGAUUCCUACCUUGCAGGAGCUCAGAAUCUAACAAGGGAGAAGACAAGCCAACCGCCAUCAUGGUACUGUAUGCCAUGUUUCAGAAUGGGGCAGUGCAAUAUGAGCAUGUACAGAGGGGAUCCUAACCUGGUCGUGGGUAGUCAAGGAAAGCUACCUCAAGAAAAUGCUUACUAAUGCUGUGACCUAAAGGAGGAGAAAAAGUUGGCUCACUGGAGAAAAGGUGAAGAACGUGUCCCAGGCAGAGGAGGAGGGCAUGUGGAAAGGUCUGGAAAAAGAAGAGAGGGCUGGUACCUGCAACACCCUGAGGGUGAUUCAGUGCAGCCGAAGGGCUUCAAGGCUCACCCCACACAUCCAGGACAGGUUUGCAGCAAUUACAGGAUAAUAUCUUACAGAUGAAGGAAACUUUUGCCAAGCCAGCAAUAUUCUACUAACAUGCUUAUUUCACCAAAUUCUUCACUCCCGACGUUAAGUUAAAAAUCCACAGGUAAGUAAUCAGCAUCUCAGAUCACCCCAAGACAGGUCUAUUUAUACUAACUUUCCUAAAAAUAUUUA